ensembl:lncRNA
UCUAUGGACUGUAGCCCACCAGGCUCCUCUGUCCAUAGGAUUCUCCAGGCAAGAAUACUGGAGUGGGUUGCCGUGCCCUCCUCCAGGGGAUCUUCCAAACCCAGGUAGAAACCCAUCUUCAUCCCUGAUUCCUGGUAUAAACACAAGGGCAGCCAAAGAAACAAAAUGUUCUCUGUGCCACUGCCAGAUUCCAGUGUGUUAAACAGGAAUACAGAGCGAAGACAUGGUGCGGCACAGGGACCUGCCUCCUCCAACCACUGUUCAACCUUGGGGGCCCAGUAGCCUUGGCUUUGGCUUGGAAGCUUAGAGCUCAGCCUGAAGAAAUGGCCCAUAAAAAGCCCCAUUCCUGGCACUUAUCCAGAUAUUCCCCAGGAGAUGUGUUCAAACAAGAAUCUUCUCUCUGCUCCCCUACCUCCCAUGACUCUGCUUGUAGGAUGAGUCCAGUCUCAGGAAAGGACAAGCCAGAGAUCUGGGCUCAGGAUCUGUUCUGCCAUUAAUGGAGUGAGCCAUAUGGACUUUUGUAUCUCGAGUCUGUGUUGGUAAAAUGAAGGGUUUGGGCUGGUCAGAAUGGAUUCCGUUCAACCCCAGAUGCUUCAUGAAGCAGCUACUACUUGAUCUUGUGUCUGGGGUUUCUCUGUUACAGUCACAGAACACUGUGGCUAGCUCUGGGAAUGUUGCAUGCGAGCCUAUCUCAGAAGAGUCACAUGGAAAAGGAAUUAGGACGGCACAGGUCAAAUUCCAGCUUGUUGAGUCGUGUGAGAUAAAUGUGGGGAAGCCCAGUGGAGAGCAGGGGCCCCAAGCCUCUCUAGAGACAGCACACACUUUCUCCCCAGGGGGUUGCAGGCUCAGCAGACCUCAGUUGCCUCCAGCUCCAUCCCAUCAAGUCUCAACUGCAAGGAACCAAUGCACUAUGAAUGUGAAAGGUGAAGACAGGAGUGAGGAAGACACCUAGGCAAACUUACCUGCAGGCAGACAAGACCCUCUCACAGUGGGAUUAAAGGAGCAUGCGAUGGUGCCUGGCCCCUGGGUUGUAUCUGCUGAUACUUACAAUCAGUCACCGACACCUUUUGGAGAAGGGUCUGAUGUAAGGAGAGAGCUCAUUGGAAGAUGGCAAAUUCACGUGCAUCUGAGAUGAGAGAGUGGGUAAGGACCCUUGCUGGCUGGCUGCUGCAUGUUCUUUAAGAAAUGGCCAGCUGCUCCCUAGCAGAGUCUUGGAAUAUAAGAGCCCCUGGCUUUACAUGAUCCCAAACAGAGAACAAGAGACACCAAGGGAACAUGGCCAGUGUCGGGGUGGCAGUAUCCUUGUCCACCAUGGUGGGAGUAACUGGGCACCAACCCCAUCAUUCAGAAGAGCCCAACCUAAGAAUCCAGGGACUUGGGUUCUAGACUUGGAAUUUUCCAUGUUAAGAUUAGAAGGCAGACAGCAUCAUCUCUAACACCUUGCCCAGCUUGAAGGGCCGAUGGUUACUUUAGAUUAGGCAAAUAUUUCUCCUGAGUGAUGGAAAACAUGUAAGAGACAUGGUAGCAUGAGUGUCUGGGCUGUGAGAAAAAUGGGGAGAAAAAAGGAACUGAAGUCAUGUAGGGUGGGUGAGACUGUCCACAGGCGAUCCACACAAUUUCUUGAAAUGAUUUCAAGAAAAAUCUGUUGCCUCCAUGCCUUAUCCUUCUGAUAUAGUAGUUCACAUUCUACUCCAUCUUAGAUCCUCUGAAUGGCUUUAACAGUAGAAUAAUUUAAAAUUUAUCAUUUUAUCA